rnacentral:lncRNA from 1 species
AUUUCUCUUGCACAUCAGAAAAUGUCCAGAAGUGGGCAUUCAGGCCUGGGGGGAAGGCCCUCGGACAUCAGGAACCCAGGCUUUUGCCUCCUGCUCCCCCAUGUCCUGUGUGUGGCUUCCCCAUCCUCUGGUUCUCUGUGGACGAUGACAGCUCAGCCAAGGCAUCGCCCUCCAGGCAGGAAACACGAGCCCCUCCCUUCUCAGGCAGCUCUUUAAGCAGCCUCCCUUCCAGGAAGCCCCACAGCCUCCCUGCUCCCGUGUCGCUGGUCGGUUCAGGUCUCCCGGCCAUACCCAACUGUGAGAGUGGCUGGAAAUGAUCUGCAGUGCAGCCAACUAGUUGGGGUUCUGUCACCCAGGGGAACAGGGGGAUGGAUGUUCGCGUGGUGAACCUGCACUCUCUGCCACACUGAUCUCAUUUCCUGGGUCCUGGGGCGUCCAUCUGGGCCAUAAAAUUCUCAUUGCUGAAGAUGCCGCGUCCCGCCUCUUAAAGGAAAGAAAAGGAAAGGGUGCCUGAGUCAGCAUCAAGGCUGGGCUUUUGGGGGAGCGGGAGGGGCGGAGUGAUGGGGAUUACAGUGGAUCGUACUUCUGAUGGAUUGGAUUCUGAUGCACAUGCACCCGUCUCCCCUGAGACGAGGGACAUGCACAGGAGCAAGACAGAGACCCCGUCCCAGGGCAGAGCUCCCGGGAAAGCUGAAUGAAGGAUCCUGGACUGUGCGGCCACCACCUUGACCCAUAUCUGCCGCCAGUUUCCUCAGACACACAGAAUCGGGGUCUCCACUUGGCUCAAGCCAGCCUUGGAGUUCAGGAAGUGUCACCCCAUUUUCAACUGUCUUCAGUCGGCUCUUCUGCGUGUUUCCCUUUAAUGGUCUUUGUGCAAAAUAUGCAGCUGGUUGGGGAGGGACAGGAAGUUGCACAAACCCCUCAGCAGAUGAUCCCUGGUGUCUGGGGCUGGCCGGGUGGCAGAAAGGCCAGACCCGUUCUGCUUGGGAGCCUGAUGGGUUUGGCCCCGAUCCUGGCUGCCUCCCUCUUCAGCUGCGUGACCUUGGGUGGGCUCCUGAAACUCUGCGGCUGUUUCCUCUCCCAAAGCAUUUCCUUAUCUGCCUUUUCCCUGGAGUAUUAUAUUGUGAGGGGGAUCAAUGAACAAAUAUAUACCUUUCCGCCUUUGCGAUGUUACCCCAUAAUAAAAACCCAUGUGCUAUGAGCAUCUCUGCAAUAAAAGCACCUUCGAAGGACA